UACGUAGGGGGCGAGCGUUGUCCGGAAUCAUUGGGCGUAAAGAGCGUGUAGGUGGACUGGAAGGUCUGGUGUGAAAGCCCGGGGGCUCAACCCCGGAGGGUCACUGGAAACCAACAGUCUUGAGUCCGGAAGAGGAGAGUGGAAUUCCUGGUGUAGCGGUGGAAUGCGCAGAUAUCAGGAGGAACACCAAUGGCGAAGGCAGCUCUCUGGUACGUGACUGACACUGGAGACGCG
rnacentral:rRNA from 1 species